CCCAGGGGAGGCACCCCCGGAAUUGCUCUGCCUUGUGUCCCACUUCUACCCUUCUGGGGGCCUGGAGGUGGAGUGGGAACUCCGGGGUGGCCCAGGGGGCCGCUCUCAGAAGGCCGAGGGGCAGAGGUGGCUCUCGGCCCUGCGCCACCAUUCCGAUGGCUCUGUCAGCCUCUCUGGGCACUUGCAGCCGCCCCCAGUCACCACUGAGCAGCAUGGGGCACGCUAUGCCUGUCGAAUUCACCAUCCCAGCCUGCCUGCCUCGGGGCGCAGCGCUGAGGUCACCCUGGAGGUAGCAGGUCUUUCAGGGCCCUCCCUUGAGGACAGCGUAGGCCUUUUCCUGUCUGCCUUUCUUCUGCUUGGGCUCUUCAAGGCACUGGGCUGGGCUGCUGUCUACCUGUCCACCUGCAAGGAUUCAAAGAAGAAAGCAGAGUGAGGGCACUCACUGCCAUCCUGUGGAAGCCACCAUCAUCUCUGGCCCAAGCUUCUGUAGUAGCUCCCUAAAAUAAUACCCUAUCAUCUGCUCCUAAUCCCUCCAAUCUCUCUCCACUGAGUGGCUGGAAUGCUUUUUUUUUUUUCUUUCACUUAUAUAAGGGAUAAUUUUUCUUUUUUUUUUUUUUUUGAGACGGAGUCUCACUCUUCCGCCCAGGCUGCAGUGCAGUGGCAUGAUCUUGGCUUACUGCAACCUCCGCCUCCUGGGUUCAAGCAAUUCUGUGGCUUCAGCCUCCGGAGUAGCUGGGAUUACAGGCACAUGCCACCACACCCAGUGAAUUUUUGUAUUUUUAGUAGAGACGGGGUUUCACCAUGUUGGCCAGGCUGGUCUUGAAUUCCUGACCUCAGGUGAUCUGCCCACCUCAGCCUCCCAAAGUGCUGGGAUUACAGGCGUGAGCCACCACACCAGGCCCGAGAAAUGCUUUUUUAAAAAACACACAUCUUAUGGCAUUCACCUUCUUGGAGCUCUAGGACAGUGGUUCUCAAAAUUUUUUUCUCUCAGGACCUCUUAAAAAUCAUCAAGGACCCCAAAAAGCUUUUGGGUAUGUGGGUUAUAGCUAUCAAUAUUUAUGGUACUAGAACUUAAAAGUGAGAAAAAUUUAAAACACGAGAAUACAUAGGCACACAUUCUAUUCAUCGUGGGAACCAUGGUGUCAAUACAUAUCAUGUAGCUUCUGAAAAACUCCACUGUACACUUAUAGAAUGAAGAAGGCAAAAAACUUUUUUUUUUUUUUUUUUGAGACGGAGUCUCGCUCUGUCGCCCAGGCUGGAGUGCAGUGGCGCGAUCUCGGCUCACUGCAAGCUCCGCCUCUCGGGUUCACGCCAUUCUCCUGCCUCAGCCUCCCAAGUAGCUCGGACUACAGGCGUCCUCCACCAUGCCUGGCUAAUAUUUUGUAUUUUUUAGUAGAGACGGGGUUUCACCGUGUUAGCCAGGAUGGUCUCGAUCUCCUAACCUGGUGAUCCGCCCGCCUCGGCCUCCCAAAGUAUUGGGAUUACCCGCGUGAGCCACCGCGCCCGGCUGCAAAUAAUCUUUCUUUUUUUCUGAGACAGAGUCUCGCUCUGUUGCCCAGGCUGGAGUGCAGUGGCACGAUCUCGGCUCACGGCACGCUCCGCCUCCCGGGUUCACGCCAUUCUCCUGCCUCAGCUUCCCGAGUAGCUGGGACUACAGGGGCCCGCCACCACGCCCGGCUAACUUUUUGUGUUUUUAGUAGAGACGGGGUUUCACCGUGUUAGCCAGGAUGGUCUCGAUCUCCUGACCUUGUGAUCUGCCCGCCUCGGCCUCCCAAAGUGCUGGGAUUACAGGCGUGAGCCACCGCGCCCGGCGGCGAAACACGAUAUUGUACUAACAUCUUAAUUUUGUUAUAAAAUCUCACAAACCCCCUGACAUAGUCUCAGAGAUCUGUAGGGCCGAGGUUACAUUUGGAGAACCCGUACUCUAGGGCCAAAUCCAUUCUUCUUGCCCUGGCUCACUUGUCCCCCCCACCGCCCCGCGCUGGAGCCACUGCCUAGUUCUUCAGCCCUAGAUGGUGCUCGCCAGACCUCCUCUCAAUGCUCAUCACACACAGGGCUAUUCCUUUCCUCCAAUGAACCAAACGCCUCCCGCCCACCUCCAGGUCCCAGUCCUCUGUUCCCUUUGCCUGGUCCACCCUUGCCCUCCCUGGGUCGCAGACGAGGUCGGCCUCGUCAUUCCCCGCAGACCGCCGCGCGUCCCUCUUGUGCGGUUCACCACAGUUGUAUUUAAGUGAUCGUGUGAGUCGUCGUUAAAUGCCUGUCUCCCCGCGGAUCAUGGGCUCCUCGAGGACAGGGACUGGCCUGUCUGUCCACUGCUGUAACCCCGCGCCGGCAUAGGGACCUAAGGCCCACUGGAGGGCGCUCAUCAAGUAGCUGCUGGAUGUUGACGAAGGAAGCGGCGGCGCAGCUCAGGGAUCUCCGAGUCAGGACGGUCGGCCAGACCCACGGGGUAACGGGUCUAAUCGUGUAGGAAUAAAGCUGUAUUCCAGUGCU
rnacentral:lncRNA from 1 species